rnacentral:rRNA from 1 species
CUACGGGUGGCACCAGUCGAGGAAAUUUUACAAUGCUCGAAAGAGUGAUAGAAUAAGCCAGAGUGUUUCUCUUAGAGAAACUUUUGCCUGUUGUAAAAAGACAGGCGAAUAAGGACUGGGAAAGACCGGUGCCAGCCGCCGCGGUAAUACCGGCGGUCCGAGUCGCAUCCACAUUUAUUGGGUCUAAAACAUUCGUAGCUUGUUUUGUAAGUCUCUUGUGAAAUUCUAUAUCUCAAGUAUAGAGCGUGCAAGAGAUACUACAUAACUAGAGACCGGAAGACGUAAGGAGUAUGAUUGAGGUAGCGGUAAAAUGCGUUAAUCUUAAUCAGACUAACAAUAGCGAAGGCACCUUACGAGUACGGAUCUGACAGUGAGGAAUGAAGGCCAGGGUCGCGAAAGGGAUUAGAUACCCCUCGUAGUC